UUUAUUUAAUAAACUUAUUUUAUGUAAUUGUAUUUUCUUAUGUACUUUUUAUGUAUCUUUUAUGUUAUCGAUUCUAUUAUGUAAUAUAAUUUGAACUUUUUAGGUAAUGGAGUCUGGUCCUUCUAAUCCUGUACAUCUCAUGUUCCUCCUAUUAUUGUCUGAUUUCGAGCAUGCUGGUACGUACUCAUGGGGUGGUGCAUGUCUUGCAUGGUUGUACAGAGAACUUUGUUGGGCUUCCAAUGCAUAUAAUUUUAAAUGGAGUGGUGUAUUAGCUGCGUCUGAACAGUCAGCAAAUAUGUUGCUCGUGUACAGAAAAAUAUCCGACUUGCUGACGCCCAAUCAGGUUAUUUGGACGCCAUACACACAGAUUUGGUCAUCCUUACCUAAUUAUUGUCGUGAUGGUGAAGACAUCUGGUUGACUGUUAGCCCUCUUAUAUGCUUCCAUAUAGUAGAGUGACAUUAUCCAGAUCGUGUGCUAAACAGUUCGGUAUGCGACAAAUGAUACCUUCGUUGUCCUAUACACUCCUAGAACUACACCAGAUCAAUUUAAGAGGUAAGCACGACCAAGACUGACGUCGAAUCCAUGUGGAGUAUUUAUCCUACCGGCAUGGACGAUGUGAUCGUUGUGCACAAGGAGAAUUAACAGAUGGGCCAGCUGUAUCAGACGACUACUUUUCCUGGUAUAAUUCGAUCACGAGGCGAUUUAUCUCACCUAACGGCGUUUACUAUUACUGCAUGAAUAAUUUUAUCGGCGAUGUUCAACAAUAUUCAGUGCAGAACAACUUGUCAGAAUUGAGUUCAACGUGUCAGCAAACAUUGGUCAACGUAGAAAGUAUUAUUCAACAAACAAGACGACUCAAUGUUGCUGACACCGAUCGAAGACGUAUUCGUCGUAGACGACAACAACAACGGGGUGAACCUAAUUUAGAGGAAUACGAAGACAACCCCCAUGAGGAGUAAGGGCCAGGGGGUCGUUUUUAAAUCCCACAUUGUAUCAUUUUCACAUUGGAAAUCUCAAAAGAACUAAUUGUAAAUAUUCUUUAAUAUCAUGGUAU